rnacentral:rRNA from 1 species
AUGGUCUCGGAGUUGAAGCCACCAGGAGGGAGAUACAUCAGCAUGGUACGUCGACAUGGCAGCAGACACUUCCCCGCUAAAAAAGAAGAAGAUAGCAAGCAGCACGCCCUUUCUGCAGCCGGUAUAAAAAACAGCACAGUGCAUUUUCUACAGCUGGCCUUUUUCUAUGGAAUAACUGGCAUUCAUGCACGCCAUCAUCUGCUACAGAACAGGACUGUUUCCAUUUUUUUUAAAAAGGCAUCAUCCAUACUCCUAACCUUAGUUUGCCAAAAAGAAAGAAAAUGCUGCGCUGGCGCAACCAAUUGGGCGGGUGCCAUGUACAGAGAAACAUAA